AAGUUAUCUUUACUAAAAAGACGUGCAUAAUUGUUUUGUGAAAAGUGGACUUGAACAAAGUUAGUAUAAAUAAAUUUUAGUACCUUUUGCAUAAGGGUUUUUCAAGAUAAAUUUAAGAAUUUAAUUUUCCCGAAUAAAAGAGAGUUAUUUUUUUGAGUUAGGAAAUCGUGGUAGAGAUUUGAUUAAACUAAAGAAUGGCGGCUAGAUACUAUUCGCGCUUUUAGAUAUCUGGUUGGCUUAAAAAAAUGUGUAAGCAUUUUCUUUAACUACUUAAGGGGUAAAAUUUUUUGGGUUAAGCUGAAAAAUGGUGAAAUUGAUGUUUAAAAAAUUUUUGGUUUCUAUAGGCUUUAAACUGGCUAUUAGGUAUUAGUGUAUUUUAACUAAAACCAAACGGAGAAAAAGAUUAAUUGGGGUCAUCAUUUAUUUAAAAAUAAGCCUAUGAUCGGAGGGUCAGUAAUUAUGAUAAAAACGAGUAAAAAUAUUAUUUUUUUGGUAUCACUGUUUUGUUUUACCUUAAAAGAUUGACGGCUAAAUAAAGGUUUUUAAAUGAACUCGGCAAACUAAACUUCUCGACUGUUUAACAAAAACAUUUCCUUUUGAUGUAAGUAAAAGGUAGUCCCUGCCCAGUGCAACUAGAGUAAUGUCUGUUGUAAACGGCGGCGUUAACGUGAGCGUCCUAAGGUAGCGCGAUAAUUUGCUUUUCAAUUGAAGGAUGGUAUGAAAGGGUUAACGAAGAAGGUGCUGUGUCUAAAAAUUCAAUUUAAACUAACUUUAAGGUGAAGAGGCCUUUAUGUAAAAGAAGGACGACAAGACCCUAUGAAGCUUUAUCUUAAUUGGAGCUCUCAGGCUCUUAUACGAUUUUGAUGGGAGAUCAGUAGAAAUAAGUCUUCUACUAUCAUAUUAAUCUUACUGGUAUUUCCUAACUUUAUAUGUGUGGCUAGCUACUCUAGGGAUAACAGCGCAAUUUCUCCCGAAAGAUGGUAUUGGAGGGGAAGAUUGCGACCUCGAUGUUGGCUUUAGAUAUCCUAGAGGCGUAGAAGCUUCUGAUGGUGGGUCUGUUCGCCCUUUAAAAUCUAACAUGAGCUGAGUUCAGAACGGCGUGAGCUAGUUCAGUUUCUAUCCUCUUUUUGAAAUGAGCUAAUUUUGUACGAAAGGACUUUUUCGCUAAAGCAAUGCUUUGUCACAAAUCUGUGGUUGCAUAAAUAAUAGGGUAUAAUAGGUUGAUUAGCCUAUAGGAAGGGUUA
rnacentral:rRNA from 1 species